rnacentral:rRNA from 1 species
CCUACGGGAGGCAGCAGUGAGGAAUAUUGGUCAAUGGACGGAAGUCUGAACCAGCCAUGCCGCGUGCAGGAAGACGGCUCUAUGAGUUGUAAACUGCUUUUGUACAAGGGUAAACCUGAAUACGUGUAUUCAGCUGAAAGUACUGUACGAAUAAGGAUCGGCUAACGCCGUGCCAGCAGCCGCGGUAAUACGGAGGAUCCAAGGGUAAUCCGGAUUUAUUGGGUUUAAAGGGUGCGUAGGCGGCCUGUUAAGUCAGCGGUAAAAGCCCGGGGCUAAACCCCGGCGAGCCGUUGAAACUGGCGGGCUGGAGUUGGAGAGAGGGACGCGGAAUGCGCGGUGUAGCGGUGAAAUGCUUAGAUAUCGCGCAGAACACCGAUGGCGAAGGCAGCGUACCGGCUACACACUGACGCUGAGGCACGAAAGCGUGGGUAUCGAACAGGAUUAGAUACCCUGGUAGUC